UUUUUGUAAAAAGAAAUUAAAAUUUAUUGACAACUCAAAGGACACAAACACUUAAUUUGAUCCUGUUUGUUUCCUUUAAAAGCUAUUUUUAAGACAGGCUCUGCAGCCAUUUCUGAGUCUCUGAAGAAGGCCAUAUCUGAAAUAUUUGAUUGUAAUAAUGAUAGCAGAUCUUAGUGAACUUUGAAUAAUCUGUCACAUGAAACAGCAAACUGAAAAUUUGGGGUUCUGUUGUUGAAGUAAUAAAAUAAAACUAAAUAUCAGAGCAUUGUAUUAUUAAACAUGAAGAUUAAUCUUCUACAGCAGUGCCUUAAUGCUGUGCAACUAAAAUGAAUGUUCCAACUAUUUUUUGGAAAAAAAAUGUUUUGUGCUUUGCUUUCCAUAGGAGAAGCAAUGAAUGGAGAACAAUUCCAUUGGCUGUUACAAUGCAGAGGCGUUUUUUAAAAAUAAUUCAAGGAGGAUAAAACUCACUCUGCAGACAUCCAUAGCGAGCUCCAAGGGAGAGAAUAAAGGAAGUGGAAAAGACAGGUAAACUGAGAAUUUAUUGUGUGUAUGAUAUAGAAAGGCCACACAAAGUUAUCUAAAGAGAGGAGAUUUCUGCUUUGGGUGUUCUUUAUGUUCUUCUGAAGGGCUGUGGAGACUUGGCUCUAACCAAUAAUGAUAUUUUUUCCUUUCACUGAUCCACACAUGUAUUCUUAGAUUUGCAAAGAAAGAUAUCAAACAGAAUUAUUAUCUUUAUUUAAACCCAUCUGUCCCGAGCUAAACUCUUUCAGACUUCCCCUUAACUGGCAGCUAAUCAGCAGGCACUUCUCCCGUGUCAGAGCUCACCCCUUCAUGUGAAUUUUGUGAAGAAAACCCAUUUCUCUGUAUUCAAAAGCAACGAUUCACAGUACCUCACUGUACACUCUGCUCUGCAUCCUACUGAUUAUCUCCCCUUGGAGCUGGAAUUGUGCCAUUUCCACUGAAAAUCCAAACUGUAGUCAAAUGCCAGCCUCUGUUUGUUGGAGGUCAGGCUUUAAGUCCCUUUUCCUGAAGGAUUAAAGAGCUGCAGUUAAGUAGCUCUGGCAGGUGAGUUCAGUGAGCAGCAGCUCUGGUUAAAAGCAGAAUGCUGAAGGAAGAGAGGCUCUGAAUUAAAUCAAUCUGCAUUAGGCACUGCUUCUCCUUUACAGAAUUUAGGCUUCUUUUGGGAUUCAGCAGCUGCUUCUUCCCAGAGCUGUAAAUCCAUAAAAACCCCUGAGUGCUGAUUGCUGCAUUGUUUGACACCCAUCCAGCCCCUGGGGUUGGCAAUCACCGAGCUCAGGAUGGAGGGGAGCUUGAUCAAAUUGUUGUUGGCCUCCAGCAGUCCCU
rnacentral:lncRNA from 1 species